GGCUGGUCCGAUGGCAGUGGGUUAUCAGAACUUAUUAACAUUAGUGUCACUAAAGUUGGCAUACCACCCCCCCACUGCUAAAUUUGACUGGCUUUAA
rnacentral:Y_RNA from 1 species